rnacentral:rRNA from 2 species
UCAAGUUUUUAAGGGCACACGGUGGAUGCCUUGGCAUUAGGAGCCGAAGAAGGACGUAGGAAUCUGCGAUAAGCCUGGGGGAGUCGAUAACCGGACUGUGAUCCCAGGGUGUCCGAAUGGGGAAACCCCGCCAGGGGCGCGAGUUGCCUGGUGACCCGCAUCUGAACACAUAGGGUGUGUGGGGGGAACGCGGGGAAGUGAAACAUCUCAGUACCCGCAGGAAGAGAAAACAAUAGUGAUUCCGUUAGUAGUGGCGAGCGAACGCGGAUCAGGCUAAACCGUUCCAUGUGUGAUAGCCGGCGGGCGUUGCAUGGUCGGGGUUGUGGGACUUUCCGUAUUGGUUCUGCCGGACCAGUGGGGUGUGAUGUGCAGGCAUAGGUGAACGGUCUUGAAAGGCCGGCCAGAGAGGGUGUGAGCCCCGUAACCGUAAUGUUUUGUGCCGCCCGGAUGAGUAUCCCAAGUAGCACGGGGCCCGAGAAAUCCCGUGUGAAUCUGUCAGGACCACCUGAUAAGCCUAAAUACUCCCUAAUGACCGAUAGCGGACCAGUACCGUGAGGGAAAGGUGAAAAGUACCCCGGGAGGGGAGUGAAACAGUACCUGAAACCGUGUGCUUACAAUCCGUCGGAGCAUCUGCGGCCCUUGUGGUCGUAUGGGUGUGACGGCGUGCCUUUUGAAGAAUGAGCCUGCGAGUUAGUGUUACGUCGCGAGGUUAACCCGUGUGGGGAAGCCGUAGCGAAAGCGAGUCUGAAUAGGGCGUUGCAGUGGCGUGAUCUAGACCCGAAGCGAAGUGAUCUACCCAUGGCCAGGUUGAAGCGACGGUAAGACGUCGUGGAGGACCGAACCCACUUCAGUUGAAAAUGGAGGGGAUGAGCUGUGGGUAGGGGUGAAAGGCCAAUCAAACUUCGUGAUAGCUGGUUCUCCCCGAAAUGCAUUUAGGUGCAGCGUUGCGUGUUUCUUGCUGGAGGUAGAGCUACUGGAUGGCUAAUGGGCCCUACAAGGUUACUGACGUCAGCCAAACUCCGAAUGCCGGUAAGUGAGAGCGUAGCAGUGAGACUGUGGGGGAUAAGCUUCAUAGUCGAGAGGGAAACAGCCCAGACCACCAACUAAGGCCCCUAAGCGUGUGCUAAGUGGGAAAGGAUGUGGAGUUGCGAAGACAACCAGGAGGUUGGCUUAGAAGCAGCCAUCCUUAAAAGAGUGCGUAAUAGCUCACUGGUCAAGUGAUUCCGCGCCGACAAUGUAGCGGGGCUCAAGUACACCGCCGAAGUUGUGGAUUUCAAACAAUAACUAAGCCUUCGUGGUUCAGGUGUUUGGAGUGGUAGGGGAGCGUCGUGUGGGCAGUGAAGUCGCGGUGUAAACCAGUGGUGGAGCCUACACGAGUGAGAAUGCAGGCAUGAGUAGCGAAAGACGGGUGAGAAACCCGUCCGCCGAAUGAUCAAGGGUUCCAGGGUCAAGCUAAUCUGCCCUGGGUAAGUCGGGACCUAAGGCGAGGCCGACAGGCGUAGUCGAUGGACAACGGGUUGAUAUUCCCGUACCGGCGAAAAACCGUCCAUGGUGAACAGGGGAUACUAACCGCCCGAUACCUGCCCGCUCGCCCUUGUGGUGUUGUGGGUUUUGGUGGAGCGCGGGACCGUAACUUGGGAGUCAAGCGUAUUAACAGGUGUGACGCAGGAAGGUAGCCAAGCCGGGCGAUGGUUGUCCCGGUCUAAGGAUGUAGGGCGAACGGUAGGCAAAUCCGCUGUUCAUGAUGCCUGAGAUCUGAUGGGACCCCCGUUUGGGGGGAUUUGGUGAUCCUAUGCUGCCGAGAAAAGCAUCGAC